rnacentral:rRNA from 1 species
UACGUAGGGUGCAAGCGUUGUCCGGAAUUAUUGGGCGUAAAGAGCUCGUAGGCGGUUUGUCGCGUCUGCUGUGAAAAACUCGGGGCUUAACUCCGGGCCUGCAGUGGGGUACGGGCAGACUAGAGUGCGGUAGGGGAGACUGGAAUUCCUGGUGUAGCGGUGAAAUGCGCAGAUAUCAGGAGGAACACCGGUGGCGAAGGCGGGUCUCUGGGCCGUAACUGACGCUGAGGAGCGAAAGCGUGGGGAGCGAACAGG